UUAGUAUAGAAGUUGGAGCAGAUGAAUUCAGUGAAUGCCAAACUCAUUGUAACCUUGUAGCUAAUGUUGCAAGUUAUUUUGGAAUCGUGAAUUGUUCUGUCUAAUUUAACUUCCAGAAUAAGCAGCAGUGUCUGGUGUCAGCCCCAAGCAGGAGGUGUGCACAAAUAGGACAUGAUCUGAGCAAAGUCAGUUUGCAAGAUUGCAAUAGGAAUAUUUUAUAACUCCAUUAAAUGUUAACCUUUUUUCCCACUUCGAUGUAUGUAUUAGCUUUACUGCGUACAUAUUACACAGUUUUAUUGGCAAAUAUGAUACCAAAAAGUAAUAUACUGUUUCAACAUGAUGGAACUUGGCAGGUGGACAUUGUUUUCUACUCGUAAGAGAAAAUUAUUAGUUCCAUCCUUCCAUUAUCUUCAGAUAAUAACUUCUGUUUCUGUAAAGCUCUGGUACAAAUAGUAUUAUUACUUGAAAUGUGUGUAAGUGGAGAACAGGUAAAAUAAACAAACAAA